GAUGGAAGUGCUUUUUGAAAGUCACAUUUUCCAGGCUUCCAAUCACACCACUACCACCACCACCGUCUUCAUCAACAAGAGCAUUAUGAACAUCCUUUGAUAGCAGGAAAACAUACAUUUUUAGUACUCAUCCAAGUACUUGGCUUUCUGAAGACCUGAGCUGUCGACUGUAGAGCAGUAAGUUCUUUGCCAUAGAUCACCAGGAAGGAUUACUUGGAAGGCAAGCAUCUAACUGCUGUUGGCUCCUCCUUUACCAUACCUGACUGCCCAGGUGGCGGGGCCCCUGAUGAUCCUCGUGGUAGACAAAGAAACACCGUCAGAACAGCAGCUCUGUUUCCUGCACAGGGUUCGAUGGCUAUGGGUUUGGGAGCCCCCUGAAAAAGAAAACUCAAGCACUUCAGCCAGGGCUACCAGGAAAGACCUCUCAGGAGUGGAAUUUGAGCAUAUCCUGGAUGAAGUGAAGGAGUGAAGCCAGGAGAAGGCCCGGGAGGAAGAAUAAUAAAGAUAUUUUCUCAAAGUUUCUGGAAUCUCUGCAAAAGAAAUCCUUUUGCUCACUGCAGAAAAUGAUCAGACUCUUGGAUUGUGAUAACAUGAUACUGACGUGUUGGUAUGUGAGCACAACCACACACACCCUCCAUA